AACGAACGCUGGCGGCAGGCUUAACACAUGCAAGUCGAACGCUCGUGGCAACACGGGAGUGGCGGACGGGUGAGUAACGCGUGGGAACGUGCCCUGAGGUUGGGAAUAACUGCGGGAAACUGCAGCUAAUACCUGAUGCGCCCCGAGAGGGGGAAAGAUUUAUCGCCUUGGGAGCGGCCCGCGUCGGAUUAGCUAGUUGGUGGGGUAACGGCCUACCAAGGCUUCGAUCCGUAGCUGGUCUGAGAGGACGAUCAGCCACACUGGGACUGAGACACGGCCCAGACUCCUACGGGAGGCAGCAGUGGGGAAUCUUGCGCAAUGGGGGCAACCCUGACGCAGCCAUGCCGCGUGAAUGAUGAAGGCCUUAGGGUUGUAAAGUUCUUUUGCCCGUGACGAUGAUGACGGUAACGGGAGAAUAAGCUCCGGCUAACUUCGUGCCAGCAGCCGCGGUAAACUGGUCUACG
rnacentral:rRNA from 1 species